GGGGCAUCAAGAACAGUUCUCAAGCGCUCAGAAACAUCACCUAAAGGUACCCAUUUGCAACAAAAGGUCAAAGCUCGACACCAUGUGGAGGUGGAAAUUGAGGGCAAACUUUCUGUCAGGAGACAUAUGACUUGUUUAACAUAUUCAAACAAUACAACUGGUAUUGGUGUCGUACAUAUGUUUAGUAAAAAUGCCAUCUUGACUAUCAAUUAUGUAUUUUACCAGUGCAUGUAAGG
rnacentral:misc_RNA from 1 species